UACAGAGGGUGCAAGCGUUAAUCGGAAUUACUGGGCGUAAAGCGUGCGUAGUCGGUUAUUUAAGUCAGGUGUGAAAUCCCCGGGCUCAACCUGGGAAUUGCAUUUGAGACUGGAUAGCUAGAGUUCGGCAGAGGGAAGUGGAAUUUCAGGUGUAGCGGUGAAAUGCGUAGAUAUCUGAAGGAACAUCAGUGGCGAAAGCGACUUCCUGGACCAGAACUGACGAUCAGGCACGAAAGCGUGGGGAGCAAACAGG
rnacentral:rRNA from 1 species